UGGUGAUGUCACAGUGAAAUCCAGCAUCAUGACUUUAACAUUGAACAAAUCCAGUCUGCACAGGCUCAGGGACAGACUUCAUCCUUUUACUUUAACCAUGAAACAUGAAGCUGUCGCUCAUAAUGAGACAGGAGCUCAGCUUUCAGCGUCACAGCUGGAACAACAUCAGCUGACAUGAAAGAAACACAGACGUUUGUUCCCUGUUAGCAAAGAUGAAGAUGGAGAGCGUGAGGGAACUACAGAGAGGAGGAGGAGGAGGAGGACACGGGCUGUGAGGGACGCAGUGGAGCAGCCCUCAGACCUGUGUGUCUCACACUACAUCAGCAGGAGCGAGGACGACCCCCCCAGUCUGAGGACGUUCCCACCACAUGAAUGGGGGACAGGAGGCGGAGCUUCCAGCCCAGCUGGUAGCAAAGUCCUCCUUGGGUGGACUUCUCUGUAACUAUGGACUCAUGCAUGCAGACGUUUCAGUUCACAGUGAUGUCAGUCAGUGCUUUUUAAAGAUGUGCACGUGUGCAGGAUGUGAAAUCUUCACUUUGAUUGUUAAAUGUUCGUUCACUUUGUUUGUGCUUCAAAUAAAUUCACUUCAUGGAUGAAACAGUU